CCUGAGGUUGUCAUGACUGUAGGGAGGUCACAGGGAUGGAGAAACUAAGUGAACACAAACCCUAAGCCCACACACCCUGUUUUGAGGCAUGGUUUGUAAAAACUACAUGUCAAAAGUAGAGACUUGGAUGACUCUGGGUGGUGGGUACUUAGAGCCAUUGCAGGGGCUGCACAGUAAGAUAGUGAGGUCUUGGGUUCUGAGACUUAUGGGUCUAUUUUCAGAAAUAGCCCCUGUGCUAAGGAUGUGGACUUGCUGGCCUGGAGUCUCUGAAAAGCUGUGGGUGUCCAUCUUGGGGACACUAGGCUAUGACAUGCAUAGAUUCUGCCUGUCUGUAGAAUGGAGAGUCUGGAGAAGUUAGUGGUGACAAAGAGGACACCUCAAGUGAUGAUCACCUUGGAACAGCACAGCCACCUCACAGCACACCCUUUGAUACCUUGUUGUCCAUUGUUGUGCAUAAAGUGAAAUGGUCUUGGGGUUGUCUUUACUUGUUGGCAUAAUAAAAAGAGAUCCUUGUGCA
rnacentral:lncRNA from 1 species